GACGAACGCUGGCGGCGCGCCUAAUACAUGCAAGUCGAACGGGCAUACUUCGGUAUGUCAGUGGCGGACGGGUGAGUAACACGUGGGUGAUUUGCCUUUUGGUGGGGAAUAACUCUGGGAAACCAGAGCUAAUACCGCAUGAGCUUAGCCCUUCGUUGGGUUAAGUAAAGAUAUAUUGCCAGAAGAGAAGCCUGCGGCGGAUUAGCUGGUCGGUGGGUAAUGGCUUACCGAGGCGACGAUCCGUAGCUGGUCUGAGAGGACGACCAGCCACACUGGGACUGGAGACACGGCCCAGACCUCUACGGGAGGCAGCAGUAGGAAUAUCCACAAUGGACGCAAGUCUGAUGGAGCGACGCCGCGUGAGCGAAG
rnacentral:rRNA from 1 species